UAUAAAUAAAUGUUGACUAUUUACUAUUAGUAUCAAACAUUCAAGUCCAACAAAAAUAAAAUAAACAAUGACAUAACAAAAUAUACAACACAUUGUUUAUAAUUUUCUAUUAAAAAAAAAUCAUGUUCCUGAAGAAGGCAAUUAAUAUCAAGAUUUGCAUUGCUAACUCACUUGUUAGCAAAAAGCAAAAUGUUAUCAAAUAUUACAGUAGUUAUCUCCCUUACACUGCUCUGACUAGAAUUUGAAAAUGUGAGUGCCCUAGGUUUUUUUUCAAUUUUAUCAUCGAAAAAAAUCAUUUCAUACAUUUUUGACAGCAUACUUUCUUAUUACAAUCCCCAAACCUAUAUCCAAAACACACUGAAAUCACAUAAAGAAUAAAGCACUAUCUGGUCUAGCACUGGACAAGGUAUGUUCUGGACCA
rnacentral:lncRNA from 1 species